rnacentral:rRNA from 1 species
GCUUACGGCCAUACCACCCUGAGCACGCCCCGAUCUCGUCUGAUCUCGGAAGCUAAGCAGGGUCAGGGCCUGGUUAGUACUUGGAUCGGAGACCGCCUGGGAAAGCCAGGUGCUGUAAGCU